CUUUGUUAAAGCCAUGUUGUUCAAAUUUCUGAUUGUUUUACACAGUUUCGUGUUACUGGCCAGUGCAAAAGAAUGUAAAUCUGGUCAGAACUGUGAGUUAAGAUGUUGUACCAUACCUGCGGGUGAUGUACUCUGUCGUGAGAGAUGUUUGGGGUUAUCAUGUGAACUUGAUGUACAUUGUGAUGGCGACUGCUGUGUAAACUCAACGUGUAGCAGUUGUCUUUUGAAAAGGUUU